rnacentral:rRNA from 1 species
AGAUGGCGACCGGCGCACGGGUGAGUAACACGUAUCCAACCUGCCGAUAACUCGGGGAUAGCCUUUCGAAAGAAAGAUUAAUACCCGACGGCAUAAUUAGACCGCAUGGUCUUAUUAUUAAAGAAUUUCGGUUAUCGAUGGGGAUGCGUUCCAUUAGGCAGUUGGUGAGGUAACGGCUCACCAAACCUUCGAUGGAUAGGGGUUCUGAGAGGAAGGUCCCCCACAUUGGAACUGAGACACGGUCCAA